rnacentral:lncRNA from 1 species
UUACAAUUUGUUCAAACAAUUCUGCCGAUAAAAUGGCGAUGUUGCCGAGUAAUGGCAUGACACUGAGCACGGUGGAAGCUGAUUUUUGUGUUUCGAAGGUGGAAAUAGGGGAAUUAGCAAAGCUGAUAGCUGAAAAAAGGAUGGAUGAGAAUGGAUUGAUCGGAGAGUUGAUAAAGGGGGAUGAAGUAAGAUCGGAUUUUAUAGUGUAUGGAGCAAAUUUGACAUUUGUAAACUUGGAAGGAAUGAAUGUGUAUGGAAUAGAAAUGAAGGGAUUGAAACCAGUGUGUGUGAAUUAUAUGAUGAAUGGAGUUGGUGAAGAAGGAACAGUGGUGGUUCUUCCUAGUAAUGAAAAAGAUGGUGGGAAUAAUGGGA